AAGCAUUGCGAUGGUCCCUGCGGA
rnacentral:ncRNA from 3 species